GAGAGAGAGAGAGAGAGAGAGGGAGAGAGUCAGGGAGAGAGAGAGAGAGAGAGAGUCAGGGAGAGAGAGAGAGAGAUCAGGGAGAGAGAGAGAGUCAGGGAGAGAGAGAGAGUCAGGGAGAGAGAGAGUCAGGGAGAGAGAGAGUCAGGGAGAGAGAGAGAGAGAGUCAGGGAGAGAGAGAGAGAGUCAGAGAGAGAGUCAGAGAGAGAGAGAGUCAGGGAGAGAGAGAGAGAGUCAGGGAGAGAGAGAGAGUCAGGGAGAGAGAGAGAGAGUCAGGAGGGAGAGAGAGAGAGAGAGAGUCAGGGAGAGAGAGAGAGUCAGGGAGAGAGAGAGUCAGGGAGAGAGAGUCAGGGAGAGAGAGAGAGUCAGGGAGAGGGAGAGAGAGUCAGGGAGAGAGAGAGAGAGUCAGGGAGAGAGAGAGAUUUCAGGGAGAGAGAGAGAGAGUCAGGGAGAGAGAGAGA
ensembl:lncRNA